rnacentral:misc_RNA from 1 species
GAAAUGCGAUAAGUAGUGUGAAUUGCAGAAUUCAGUGAAUCAUCGAAUCUUUGAACGCACAUUGCGCCCCUUGGUAUUCCAUGGGGCAUGCCUGUCCGAGCGUCAUUUGUACCCUCAAGCUCUGCUUGGUGUUGGGUGUUUGUCCCCGUCUCCGCGCGUGGACUCGCCCCAAAGUGAUUGGCAGCCGGCGUACUGGUCCCGGAGCGCAGCACAUGUCGCGCAAACGAGUGCCUUGGUACGGCGGCGUCCAUAAGCCCCUCUCUCACGCUCUUGACCUCGGAUCAGGUAGGGAUACCCGCUGAACUUAAGC